rnacentral:piRNA from 1 species
UGAACUUGACUUUGAUGCCAGGUAUUACU